CGAGGAGGGUUUAGCAGCAUCCCUAGGUGAUUACGCUUAUGUUCUUGUUGUUUAAACAAAUUUUGUCCAGUGAGGGAGAGAGUGCAGGUUAACCUUUGAGAAUUUAAGCUUCAGAGAAGAAGAGUUGACAGAGGUAAAGAAAGCUUAUGUCCUUGUUGUUUAACCACUUGGAUGGCUUGGUGAUAAAUCAGUUUCAGGCCUUGUGUAUAAUAGCAGGCUGUGUCAAAUUAGAAAAUCAUUAGUUCUAUUAAAGAGUAAAAUCUGGGAGUAUGUAUGUCGUACACACUACACAAGCUUGUAUUUGAUCUAGGACUGCAAUUGCUCACAAAAAUCCUUGAUAUAAUUAAGGCGGUGUUGCUUCAUAUGUUGUAUGCUUGUUCAGUACAACAGAUCUGUAGUGUGGUACAACUAGCAACAGGCUUAUAAUUUUUGGUUCAGAGAAAUGGAUGCACUGGAGUAGCAUAUAUGUGUAAGUUCAAGUUUCUGUACAAGUGCAUGGCUGUCUAGACAAUCUUAUUCGUUCAAAAAAUUAUUCACGUAGAGCCAGGGACAUACCUGUUUAUGUGUUUUUCUGUUUGCUGACAUGUUUAGGUACAAAAACGGAGUAUAUCUAAAAACCAAUCCUUGAUAGCAAUCACUUGGGUUCUUUUCCUUGUGGGGUUGGGUGGAUUUGUAGAGGGACGUGGGAGAAUUAUCCUAAGCCAUAUGGUCGAGGAGGUGGAUGCACACUUAUAAGCUAAAUUUGUUUCAUUUUAAAACUCAGCUGCAUGUCAUUUCAUGUUGGUCUUUUGGAAGGAAAGACAGUGCAUAUUAUGUGGUACAAAAUUCGAAGCUAAGUUCUUCAGAUAAAAUAUCGUAUAUGGCGUGUAAGUUCUUCAAGUAGAUAUGCAUUGCUUAUUUGAGUGUUAAUUUUCUACUCUUCUGUAUAUGUAGGAUGGUUAAAUCCAAGCUUUGAUACUUCAUUUUAAUUUUAAUUUUUUUUUCCACAAGUGAUGCUUCAUGUGAACGGUGAUCAAACCUGACCACAUUAGCACAUAAAUUACUAUUGGUUACCAUGCAUCUUCUACAUAAAUUUCUACUCUGAAUGUCUAAAGGAUGGCAGAACUGCAUGU
rnacentral:lncRNA from 1 species